AUUGAACGCUGGCGGCAGGCCUAACACAUGCAAGUCGAGCGGAUGAAGGGAGCUUGCUCCUGGAUUCAGCGGCGGACGGGUGAGUAAUGCCUAGGAAUCUGCCUGGUAGUGGGGGAUAACGUCCGGAAACGGGCGCUAAUACCGCAUACGUCCUGAGGGAGAAAGUGGGGGAUCUUCGGACCUCACGCUAUCAGAUGAGCCUAGGUCGGAUUAGCUAGUUGGUGGGGUAAAGGCCUACCAAGGCGACGAUCCGUAACUGGUCUGAGAGGAUGAUCAGUCACACUGGAACUGAGACACGGUCCAGACUCCUACGGGAGGCAGCAGUGGGGAAUAUUGGACAAUGGGCGAAAGCCUGAUCCAGCCAUGCCACGUGUGUGAAGAAGGUCUUCGGAUUGCAAAGCACUUUAAGUUGGGAGGAAGGGCAGUAAGUUAAUACCUUGCUGUUUUGACGUUACCAACAGAAUAAGCACCGGCUAACUUCGUG
rnacentral:rRNA from 1 species